rnacentral:rRNA from 1 species
GAUGAACGCUGGCGGCGUGCUUAACACAUGCAAGUCGAACGAGAAUCAACGGAUUGAGGAUUCGUCCAAAUGAAGUUGAGGAAAGUGGCGGACGGGUGAGUAACGCGUGAGGAACCUGCCUCGGAGUGGGGAAUAACAGUUGGAAACAGCUGCUAAUACCGCAUGAUGCAACGGAAUCGCAUGACUCUGUUGCCAAAAGAUUUUAUCGCUCUGAGAUGGCCUCGCGUCUGAUUAGCUAGUUGGCGGGGUAACGGCCCACCAAGGCGACGAUCAGUAGCCGGACUGAGAGGUUGAACGGCCACAUUGGGACUGAGACACGGCCCAG